GGCUCAGUUGGUAGAGCAUGGUGUUUGCAACGCCAGGGUUGUGAGUUCAAUUCCCAU
rnacentral:tRNA from 1 species